rnacentral:rRNA from 1 species
UUGAAAGGGAAACGAUUGAAGUCAGUGUACUGUGGGUAAUCAGCUUUUGGGUGUGAUUUUGUGGAGUGUGAGGAGUUAANGCUNNUUUUGAUAUUGUGANUUGGGUGUAUUUACNGUGUGGUAAGUUAACANAAUUCGGUGGNAUAAAAUGGUGGAGGAAUGUAGCUGANUUGUAUUGAAGUGUUAUAGCCUNGGUAGAUGUGAUAAUGGGAUUGAGGAUUGAACGGAUACCCUUCGGGGCUACCUGUCUGAUCUCUGAUCGUUGUUUUGGUGCUGAAAGCGUGCUUAUAGUUAUAAGUCGAUGGUCAUAGGUUAGAAUGGGUUAAAUCGUUAAGGAUGUUGACGUA